AGCUACUCUUGUGUUUGUGCCGAAGGAGUUAUUUUCAUCUCGCCUGGCAUCAAUGGCACUGACUAUACAAUGAGGAUUUUCAACUCUGAUGGUAGUGAGCCUGAGGUGAUUAAUUAUUCUUGCAAAUACAUUUGUUCAGAUGUGUGGCAAUGCAGUGCAGUGCUUUGCUAAAUUCGUUUUGUAGUUUGAGAGUUUACAUGGUCGGCAUAGAACUGCACGGUUGAUCGACACAUUUAAUUUAGUGUAUUAUGCAUCUUCAGAUUGAAUGGAAGGAUGAAGAUAAUCAUGUCUACAUGACAGGUUCAGCAGAACUAUUAGCCCCUUUGAAAUAUUGUCCCUAAACUAGAGAGCAGCAACUUGACACACCUCCACAUUUCUAAGAAACCAUACAUGAUUUCGGAAGUGUACUACCAGCAAGUACCCAUCCCUACGACGGAAAAACAGGUUUUUCGGAUGUGUAAUUCUGAGGUGACUUUGAGGAUGAUGAAAAUUUCACCCAUUAAUUAUUGUUUAUAAUAAUUCUAUGUGGAAUUUUAUAUUUUUGUUAAUAUUAUAAUGCCACAAAUUUGUUGACUUCACUUUUUAUUUUCUUUACGCACCUGUGUAGACUAAUUUCUCAAUAUAACUGAUAUUCAUUCUAGCA